UGAGUAAUGCCUAGGAAAUUGCCUUGAUGUGGGGGAUAACCAUUGGAAACGAUGGCUAAUACCGCAUAAUGCCUACGGGCCAAAGAGGGGGACCUUCGGGCCUCUCGCGUCNAGAUAUGCCUAGGUGGGAUUAGCUAGUUGGUGAGGNAAUGGCUCACCAAGGCGACGAUCCCUAGCUGGUCUGAGAGGAUGAUCAGCCACACUGGAACUGAGACACGGUCCAGACUCCUACGGGAGGCAGCAGUGGGGAAUAUUGCACAAUGGGCGAAAGCCUGAUGCAGCCAUGCCGCGUGUAUGAAGAAGGCCUUCGGGUUGUAAAGUACUUUCAGUUGUGAGGAAGGGUGUGUAGUUAAUANCUGCAUAUCUUGACGUUAGCAACAGAAGAAGCACCGGCUAACUCCGUGCCNGCAGCCGCGGUAAUACGGAGGGUGCGAGCGUUANUCGGAAUUACUGGGCGUAAAGCGCAUGCAGGUGGUUCNUUAANUCAGAUGNGNAAAGCCCGGGGCUCAACCUCGGAACUGCAUUUGAAACUGG
rnacentral:rRNA from 1 species